AGCUUCAAAAGUAUAUGUUAACAAUGCUGCAAUUAAAAAGUUCAUAGUCGAACUUUUCAGAUUUUUAUUUUUAUGAGGUCAUAAUGAAUUGUAAAGAAGUUGAUUUAUCUUAAGUUAUAUAGUCUUACUCUGUUAGCAUUAAUUUUCUGACAGUAAUUAAAGUUAUUUUUACUUUGAAAAAAUUAGAGUGUUCUAAGCAGUCGUACGAUAUUAUUCCAAAACAAGGAAUGAUAAGUAAUGAUGUUAGUUAAUUUUUAAUGGUUAGAGAGGUUGAUGUAAUUACUUAUAAAGUUUUUCGGAGGGAUUAGUAUUUUGUCGUUAGAAGUGAAAUUCUUGGAUUGUAAAAAGAUUAACUACAGCAAAUGCAUUUAUCUAGGAUAUAUUUCUUUAUCAAGAACGA
rnacentral:rRNA from 1 species